GUUGUAAUUUGCAGAGGAUGCUUUUGGCGCGGUGCCUUCCGAGUUCCCUGGAACGGGACGCCAUAGAGGGUGAGAGCCCCGUCUGGUCGGACACCAAGCCAGUGUAAAGCUCCUUCGACGAGUCGAGUAGUUUGGGAAUGCUGCUCUAAAUGGGAGGUAUAUGUCUUCUAAAGCUAAAUACCGGCCAGAGACCGAUAGCGCACAAGUAGAGUGAUCGAAAGAUGAAAAGCACUUUGAAAAGAGGGUUAAACAUUUCGUGAAAUUGUUGAAAGGGAAGCGUUUAUGACCAGACUUGUUCCCGGGGAAUCAUCCCCCGUUCUCGCUGGUGCACUUUGCCGGUGUCAGGCCAGCAUCAGUUCGCCGCGGGGGAUAAAGGCUUCGG
rnacentral:rRNA from 1 species